rnacentral:rRNA from 1 species
UACGUAGGGUGCAAGCGUUGUCCGGAAUUAUUGGGCGUAAAGAGCUCGUAGGCGGUCUGUCGCGUCGGCUGUGAAAUCCCGAGGCUCAACCUCGGGUCUGCAGUCGAUACGGGCAAACUAGAGUAUUGCAGGGGAGACUGGAAUUCCUGGUGUAGCGGUGAAAUGCGCAGAUAUCAGGAGGAAUACCGGUGGCGAAGGCGGCAUCCUGGACCGGCAUUGACGCUGAGGAGCGAAAGCUAGGGGAGCAAACGGG